rnacentral:rRNA from 1 species
UACGUAGGGGGCGAGCGUUGUCCGGAAUCAUUGGGCGUAAAGAGCGUGUAGGCGGUUCAGUAAGUCUGCUGUGAAAGUCCAGGGCUCAACCCUGGGAUGCCGGUGGAUACUGCUGGGCUAGAGUACGGAAGAGGCGAGUGGAAUUCCCGGUGUAGCGGUGAAAUGCGCAGAUAUCGGGAGGAACACCUAUUGCGAAGGCAGCUCUCUGGGACGGUACUGACGCUGAGACGCGAAAGCGUGGGGAGCGAACAGG